GACGAACGCUGGCGGCGUGCCUAAUACAUGCAAGUAGAACGCUGAAGGAGGAGCUUGCUUCUCUGGAUGAGUUGCGAACGGGUGAGUAACGCGUAGGUAACCUGCCUGGUAGCGGGGGAUAACUAUUGGAAACGAUAGCUAAUACCGCAUAAUAGCAGUUGUUGCAUGAUAACUGUUUGAAAGGUGCAAUUGCACCACUACCAGAUGGACCUGCGUUGUAUUAGCUAGUUGGUGGGGUAACGGCUCACCAAGGCGACGAUACAUAGCCGACCUGAGAGGGUGAUCGGCCACACUGGGGCUGAGACACGGCCCAGACUCCUACGGGAGGCAGCAGUAGGGAAUCUUCGGCAAUAGACGGAAGUCUGACCGAGCAACGCCGCGUGAGUGAAGAAGGUUUUCGGAUCGUAAAGCUCUGUUGUAAGAGAAGAACGAGUGUGAGAGUGGAAAGUUCACACUGUGACGGUAUCUUACCAGAAAGGGACGGCUAACUACGUG
rnacentral:rRNA from 1 species